UCCUUAAAAAAUUUGAGAUGAAUCACUUGUAAUUUAAUAAAUUUAUUUUUAUUUGCAAUAUCUUCGAAAUACAGAUAUGACAUGAGCAAAAUACAUUCAUUUAUACAAAAUAUGUCUAAAUCAACCAUACUGUAUAUCUUUUAAGUUAAUCUUUGCAAUUUAAAGCAUGUCGAUAACAUGAUAAAGGGAAAGUAAAGGAAGGUAAAAGGCCAAAAUGUGCAUUUUGCUUCCUAUUUUAUUGGAAUUAUUCAGUUAUUAGCGAGGCGACUGCAUUUAUUAUAUUUCUAUUGCAUUAAAUAAGUUAAGAUCAACUGUGUGUGUUAUUAGUAUUAAUCGUUUUGGCUUUUAAAAGGGAGAUAGUUACAAUAUGUGAGAGAUAUAUCUGGAUAUUUCAGAAGGAACAUUCACAUUGUACCUAUUUUUCUCCAUUGUGAAGCUAAAUAAAUCAGCUGCAGUUAUGAGGCAGGUUAGCAAUACAACCGGUUUACCGAAGAUUAUGCAUCUGCCCAUGCCUACAAUGGCGUGUGCCUGGGCAUUUCUUUACCAUUCAAAGUUUUGUUCAGCUUCGCAUCGAUGAUUUUGAUACUGAUAACCUUUCCAAGAACGAAAACCCAUUUUCACUUUCGUGACGAUUAUAAGUAAACCAAAAAUAAACCGACAUUCUUGCAAAGUGAAGAAAAAGAUGGAUAUGCUAAAUGCCUUUUUUCAAGAGGCAAACAUUUCUAAAGUACAUUCAAUGGUGAUGCACAAAACCUUUAUGAUUACUUGGUUUGAAGUACUCCUUCAUGAAAAAACGACGACCGUUAGCACUGAGCAGGAGCUUCGAUUCGUGUGAAUUUAACAAUUGUGUGAUAACUGACGAAAAAACAUUGUUUGGAAAAAAGUGACCAUUUGCCAGAAAAAUAUCCUUUUAAAAGAUCUGACGGGGGGGGGGGGGGGGGGGGCAAGUUUGGAUUUUUGCCGAGGAUGAAAACCCAUUUUAUUAUAAAGAAUUUGGUGGACAUUACAAAAAUGAUUUUUGGAAAGGUGCAUUUAAUUGGACAAUAACGUAUAACAGGAAUAAUACAGAUAUUUACCUACCUAAUGGAGAAAUAUGGUAAAGAAGAACCGAGGAAAAGCGUGAUUUCCUAAAAAUUGCAAAAAGCAAAACUAAGGAUGCUAUUAUAAUAACAUCUCGCUGCAAAUCAGACUCUAAAAGGGAACGGGUUAUCGAUAAAUUGAAGAAAUUUAUAAAUAUUGAUACUCUGGGCAGAUGUGGACGAGAAUGGAAGUGCGGAGCAAUGUAUGUGCACGAUGAUUGUUUCAACAUUCUAAAUUAUUCAUAUAAAUUUUAUCUAGCGUUUGAAAAUGCACUCUGUAGGGGAUAUUCCACUGAGAAGUUUUUUGAAAAUUUCAAUAACGAUAUAUUAUUAGUGUCUAGGGCUGGGAAAACAAAUUCUAGAGAAGCACUAUCGAUUCCUAAAAAUAUAUAUAUUGAUUCUACUGAUUUUCAGUCAAUUGAUUAUUUAGGAAGAUACCUUCAACGCCUGGCUUUAAAUGAUACAGAAUAUGCAAGGAUUCUAAGACGUAAAAGUCAAUAUUACUUCCCCGGGUUUCAGGAAGUAUAUCAAAGGGCGUUAUGUAAAAUUUGUGAAAGAAUGAAUCUACUUGAACACUAUCGACAACAAAUACCUGACCUUAACCAAUGGCGUAUGUCAGAUAAACCAUGCACAAAUUCAGAAGACAUAGAAAUAAUAUAAAAAUCGCCACCAAUAGAACGUACAAUGAAAUGCAAGCUUGCGUUAAACCUGAAUAAUGAAUAUUGCAGGACAUAAGAGGAUUGUUCAAUAAAUAACUACACUCUAUGUAAUUUUCCCAUUAUGAGUAAUUUAGUAUAAUAAUAACAGCAAUUUGCCCACUUGCAGGUGUUAUUAUUGCAGCAAAACGAGUGGUUCUUUAACAAGUACUAAAACGCGCUAUCGACAAAGUCAACGUGUUGACGCCUUAAAGGCAAAAACAAUCUUCCAUAUAAGUGACUCCCCCAAAAAUGCCAGACAUCGUUAUCCCAAAUAAAAAUGAUUCUGUCUGGUCCACUCUGAUAAUGGUCUAUAAACCUCUGUAGACUUGACAUGUAGUCAGAGGAUCAUGAAUUGUAUUGAUAUGUACUGAUAACUGGUUAUUACAUGUGUUCUGCAUUUUAUUGAUAAAAGUGCAGCUUUUUUCCAGAAUAUACACGAAAUUAUUUUAGUUGAUAAUAUACUAAUUGCAAUUGCUCAAUCACGUUGAGUAAUGUCCUGACCAAUUAAAUUAUAACUUGUACAGCAAAGCAAUUAUCACCAUUUUGGAAAACUCUCACCUUUAUUUAAUAAAAAUAAAAUAAUUACAGAAACAAUAAAUGAACAACAUGUUUGGCUGGAGACCUUUGUAGUGAGACACUAUGAAAUGUAUUAUGUAAACUGAGUUCUAAGAAAACUUUAUUAAUUGCAGAAAAUUCUGAUUAUAGUAUAAGAACUGUGAUUUGGGAAAAAAAAUAUUAUAGUUCCCCAUGUGUGGCCUAAAUACAUUUUCUUUUAUUUAUUAUAAAAUCUAGCAAUAAAAAGAUAUCAUUGUUCAAAAUGCACAUGAUUUAUUAUUUAUAAAAGGUGCCUGGAUGCGUUUUCUUUCAUUUCUAAUAAAAAUCCAGCAAUAAUGGGAUACUAUUGUGUAAAACUUGAUUUAUGAAAAAAUAAAAAUACUACUGUA